AAGUCGUAACAAGGUAGCCGUAUCGGAAGGUGCGGCUGGAUCACCUCCUUUCUAAGGAGACAUGGUUUCUCGCUAGAGAAAUCAUAUCCUAAGGUCGAUGCUUUGAAGGACGUCAUGGAAGCAAUGAAGUGAAACGAUUCAAAGUUGGAGAAGUCUUAAGAGACUUCUGAAAGCCGAAGAGGCAAAACGGAGCAAUCCGUAAAGUAUGAGAAAUGAAGCUGUUGAAGUUAAAAGCUAACUUGUUGUUUAGUUUUGAGGGACCAUAAAGUCUUCUAUGGGCUUAUAGCUCAGCUGGUUAGAGCGCACGCCUGAUAAGCGUGAGGUCGGUGGUUCGAGUCCACCUAGGCCCACCAUAAAAGAUUGAUAUUGUGGGGGUAUAGCUCAGCUGGGAGAGCACCUGCCUUGCAAGCAGGGGGUCAGCGGUUCGACCCCGCUUACCUCCACCAUAAUAUAUCUGGUUUCUCUAAUGUUUAUUAUGUUCUUUGAAAACUGCACAGAGAAGAAGAAAACUGUAAUUAGGAUAACAUCUAAAACCUAGAAGUGGCGGCAAAAAACGUUUGGUCAAGCUACUAAGGGCGUACGGUGGAUGCCUAGGCGCUAAGAGUCGAAGAAGGACGCGGCGAGCGGCGAAACGCCACGGGGAGCAGUAAGCAUGCCUUGAUCCGUGGAUAUCCGAAUGGGGCAACCCA
rnacentral:misc_RNA from 1 species